ACUCUGGGCUUCUUUUCUCCUGCAUUUUGCUGCUCAGGGAAUGUCCCUGCAGGAGGCUGGCAGGGGCAGGAUCACAGGAGGAGCCCAGGGACCCGGAUGGUGGCAUCCACUAUGCAGAUCAGACCCAGCAGGGGUCUGGAGACCGCAGGGACAAGGGUAGGGGAGAACCACAUCUAGAAGAGGAGAACUCUCUCUCUGCUGUCUACAGUGAGGUCCGCAGGCCAGGCCAGGCCACGA